rnacentral:sRNA from 1 species
CUGAUGGACAUUCUGAAGGACGUGCAGAUGGACUUGCUACUGAAGCUACAAGGACAUGGCAUGCUUGGUUAG